rnacentral:tRNA from 3 species
AGUAGAAUAGCUUAUGUUUGGUUAAAGCACUCACCUUAUAAGUGAGAGAGCGUGGGUUCGAACCCCACUUCUACUA